GCUCCGGUAGUGUAGUGAUAGCGUGCGCACUCCGUCAGGGUGAAACGCGGGUUCAACUCCCGCCUGAGGUU